AACAAACGCUGGCGGCGUGCCUAACACAUGCAAGUCGUACGAGAAAGUUCGCUUCGGCGGAUGAGUAAAGUGGCGCACGGGUGAGUAACGCGUGGAUAAUCUGCCCUUUAGUUGGGAAUAACUCAUCGAAAGGUGGGCUAAUACCGAAUAACGCUACGCAACGCAAGUUGUAUAGCCAAAGAAAGCCUCUGCUUGCAAGCUUUUGCUGAAGGAUGAGUCCGCGUACCAUUAGCUAGUUGGUAGGGUAAUGGCCUACCAAGGCUACGAUGGUUAGCUGGUCUGAGAGGAUGAUCAGCCACACUGGAACUGAGACACGGUCCAGACACCUACGGGUGGCUG
rnacentral:rRNA from 1 species